UCACUCAAGAAGGAGAAUGCAACAUUACAAUCUGAAACACAUUACACGUCUCAAAUCAGUUGGCUGGGAUAAAGAUUUGUUCAUGAAAGGUUCAAGUCCAUUUAACUAGGCUCAUGCUGAAGUGUGGUUGAUGCAUGUCCGAAAGGAAUGGGCCCAUCAGUGAAAACCAGAUUCUUUUUUACAUACAACUCACUGCCCAUGUACUUCCACCAAGAUGGUGAAGCCUCUGAUGACUUUCCAUGGUAACGUCGUUGUUUUCUGUCCAUACUUUUAAGCGGCACCAGAUCCCUCAUCGCGUGCAACUAUUCUAUAAGUUAAGGUACAGUUUCUCGAAUCCCAUGAGGCUCUUCUUAUUAUCUUUAUU
rnacentral:lncRNA from 1 species